rnacentral:misc_RNA from 1 species
AACGCACGAGACCUGCGGACCUGCGGAAGGAUCAUUACCGAGUUAUCCAACUCCCAACCCCUGUGAAUUAUACCUUUAAUUGUUGCUUCGGCGGGACUUCGCGCCCGCCGGGGACCCAAACCUUCUGAAUUUUUUAAUAAGUAUCUUCUGAGUGGUUAAAAAAAUGAAUCAAAACUUUCAGCAACGGAUCUCU